rnacentral:rRNA from 1 species
GACAGAGGUCCCAAGCGUUAGGCGGAAUCACUGGGCUUAAAGCGUGUGUAGGCGGAUUUGUAAGUACCUUGUGAAAUCCCACGGCUCAACCGUGGAACUGCUUGGUAUACUGCUUAUCUUGGGUCAUCUAGGGGCGAGCGGAACAAACGGUGGAGCGGUGAAAUGCGUAGAUAUCGGUUGGAACGCCAAUGGUGAAAACAGCUCGCUGGGGAUGUACCGACGCUGAGACACGAAAGCCAGGGGAGCGAACGGG